rnacentral:lncRNA from 1 species
UGUAUUGUAGCAACAGUUGUUCCUUUGGAAGCUAUUUCAUGGCCUUCGCCUAUAGGCUCCCCCGUUGCUGCUAUUUCAGCAAGCUUUUUCCUCAGAGGAUUCAGCAUCUAUUCUGUGAACAGAAAGCAGGUCAACAAACAGGAAGAUAUAACUUAAUGAAUUAGCUUUACCUAUUGGCUACAAUUAGUUCAGACUCCAGAAUGUAUGAAUCAGACUGAUAAAUGGGAGGCGUUAUGCAUUCAACUUGCACACCCACUUUUAUGUCCUUAUAGCAACUGCAUCUUGAACAAUAAGAUAG